rnacentral:tRNA from 2 species
UUUCUUCUAGCUUAAGCUUAAAGCGUUAGUUUGAAGCACUGAAGUUAACUUUAUGUUGGGGAGGU